CAAUAGCGUAUAUUAAAGUUGUUGCGGUUAAAAAGCUCGUAGUUGGAUUUCUGCCGAGGACGACCGGUCCGCCCUCUGGGUGAGUAUCUGGUUCGGCCUGGGCAUCUUCUUGGAGAACGUAUCUGCACUUGACUGUGUGGUGCGGUAUCCAGGACUUUACUUGAGGAAAUUAGAGUGUUCACGGCAGGCAAUCGCCCUGAAUAUAUUAGCAUGGAAUAAUGAUAUAGGACCUUGGUUCUAUUUUGUUGGUUUCUAGAACUAAGGUAAUGAUUAAUAGGACAAUUGGGGGCAUUCGUAUUAACGCGUCAGAGGUGGAAUUCUUGGAUUGUGUUGCGACGAACUACUGCGAAAGCAUUUGCCAAGGAUGUUUUCAUUGAUCAAGAACGAAAGUUAGGGGAUCGAAGACGAUCAGAU
rnacentral:rRNA from 1 species